GCAGCCGCGGUAAUUCCAGCUCCAAUAGCGUAUAUUAAAGUUGUUGCAGUUAAAAAGCUCGUAGUUGAAUUUCGGGAUCGACGGGUUGGUCGCGCCUCUGGUGUGUACUGGCCCUGUCGGUUUCUCCCUUCUGAAGAACCGCGAUGUCAUUAAUUUGGUGUCGUGGGAAAUCAGGACUGUUACUUUGAAAAAAUUAGAGUGUUUAAAGCAGGCAUUCGCUUGAAUACAUUAGCAUGGAAUAAUGAAAUAGGACGUUUGAUCUUAUUUUGUUGGUUUCUAAGAUCGACGUAAUGAUUAAUGGGGAUAGUUGGGGGCAUUAGUAUUCAAUUGUCAGAGGUGAAAUUCUUGGAUUUAUUGAAGACUAACUACUGCGAGAGCAUUUGCCAAGGAUGUUUUCAUUAAUCAAGAACGAAGUUAGGGAUCGAAGACGAUCAGAUACCGUCGUAGUCUUAACCAUAAACUAUGCCGACUAGGGAUCGGAUGAUGUUAAUUUUUAUGUACUUCAUUCGGCNCCGUUACG
rnacentral:rRNA from 1 species